rnacentral:rRNA from 1 species
GAUGAACGCUGGCGGCGUGCCUAAUACAUGCAAGUCGAGCGAACAGACGAGGAGCUUGCUCCUCUGACGUUAGCGGCGGACGGGUGAGUAACACGUGGAUAACCUACCUAUAAGACUGGGAUAACUUCGGGAAACCGGAGCUAAUACCGGAUAAUAUAUUGAACCGCAUGGUUCAAUAGUGAAAGACGGUUUUGCUGUCACUUAUAGAUGGAUCCGCGCCGCAUUAGCUAGUUGGUAAGGUAACGGCUUACCAAGGCGACGAUGCGUAGCCGACCUGAGAGGGUGGUCGGCCACCCUGGAACUGAGACACGGUCCAGACUCCUACGGGAGGCAGCAGUAGGGAAUCUUCCGCCAUGGGCGAAAGCCUGACGGAGCAACGCCGCGUGAGUGAUGAAGGUCUUCGGAUCGUAAAACUCUGUUAUUAGGGAAGAACAAAUGUGUAAGUAACUAUGCACGUCUUGACGGUACCUAAUCAGAAAGCCACGGCUAACUACGUG